CAGAAAGAAAAGAAAAAAGAAACAAAAUACAGGGGCUGACGAAAUUCCAUACCCAAAAUUAGUCCCACUCCUAAACAAAGCCUUUCCAUUUUGUUCGUUACAGGUGCUAUACCUGGAGGUUUAAGUAUUGGUCCUCCGGGAAAGUCCUCCAUUGAUGACUCUUAUGGCCGGUAUGAUCUGAUUCAAAACAGUGAAUCUCCCGCCAGCCCACCCGUAGCUGUUCCUCACAGCUGGUCACGUGCCAAAACCGAUAGUGAUAAAAUUUCCAAUGGCUCCAGCAUAAACUGGCCACCAGAGUUUCAUCCAGGAGUGCCAUGGAAAGGACUGCAGAAUAUUGAUCCUGAAAAUGACCCCGAUGUUACUCCUGGAAGUGUUCCAACUGGGCCUACCAUAAACACCACGAUACAGGAUGUUAAUCGCUAUCUUCUCAAGAGUGGAGGGUCAUCCCCAACAUCAUCUCAGAAUGCCACGCUGCCUUCAUCGAGUGCCUGGCCGCUUAGUGCCUCCGGCUACAGUAGCUCUUUCAGCAGCAUUGCAUCCGCACCUAGCAUUGCAGGUACGAAAAAUGGCAUUUCUACUUUCACAUCCUUCUGCAUUCCAAGAGGGAGGUCCCAUAAAGUGCUUUCCCAGUUGUUACAGUAGUGCUACUGGAGACAGAAGCAUGUUUUUUAGCACUGUGCUAGGUAGGCAGCUCUCCUGGCAGCUCCUCAGUGGGGAGCGUUGGAUGGUAUGCCUGGAAUUGCGCUAAGGAAAAAUGUAUUUAUUCCUCUCGGUGCCACGUGCCAUCACUCUGUAUUGGCAUCGAGAUCUCUUAUUCACUAUUUCCAUUGCAAC
rnacentral:lncRNA from 1 species